GCUUAGAAACGGGGAAAUGCGAGGCUCUAUGUCAAGUCAAUGCACUAUUAUUGUCAUGUAAUGCGUACAGGUAAAAACAUUUCCAAGUGGUUGCAAUCCAUAUUAUAAUUUCAACAAAUGUUAGGUUUCAUUUCCUUUUCAGGUUUCUUAAAACUGUUUUUUGCAAUCUAUGUUUUCAUCAUGGGUUGCUUGUUCUCAGGUCUGUCAGUACACGUGAAUCUUUCAAUCAGGUAAUUCUGCAUCCUCCCAAUAUGUUCUGCUGUGGACAAUUUUUGUAUUCGUGUCUUCAUACUUGCUUUUUAUUUUUUUUCUGUAUGCCAUUUCGUUUUUUUUGUUUUUUUUUCUUAACAUAUUUGUUUUAUAAGGACUAAGAUUAUAGCACAAUAUUGACUGCUGAACGCCUAUUUUUUGAAUUUGUUUGUUUUGAUCCUACAUUGUUGUCAAUAAAAUGGAAUUUUAUGCGCAGUCAUAAAAGUGAGAGGUUUAUCUAGCAAAAAAACAAGGUUUACUCCACCAUUUUCUACAUAAGGAAAUGUCUUUACCAAUGCAGGAUUUUGACAGUUGUUUUCCAUUCGUUUGGUGUGUCUGUGCAUUUUAUUUUGCUAUUAGGACUUUCCGAUUUUAAUUGCUUAAUUCCGUAUUUUGUUAUUUUUCUUUUAG
rnacentral:lncRNA from 1 species